rnacentral:rRNA from 1 species
GGUUAAGCGACUAAGCGUACACGGUGGAUGCCCUGGCAGUCAGAGGCGAUGAAGGACGUGCUAAUCUGCGAUAAGCGUCGGUAAGGUGAUAUGAACCGUUAUAACCGGCGAUUUCCGAAUGGGGAAACCCAGUGUGAUUCGUCACACUAUCAUUAACUGAAUCCAUAGGUUAAUGAGGCGAACCGGGGGAACUGAAACAUCUAAGUACCCCGAGGAAAAGAAAUCAACCGAGAUUCCCCCAGUAGCGGCGAGCGAACGGGGAGCAGCCCAGAGCCUGAAUCAGUGUGUGUGUUAGUGGAAGCGUCUGGAAAGGCGCGCGAUACAGGGUGACAGCCCCGUACACAAAAAUGCACAUACUGUGAGCUCGAUGAGUAGGGCGGGACACGUGGUAUCCUGUCUGAAUAUGGGGGGACCAUCCUCCAAGGCUAAAUACUCCUGACUGACCGAUAGUGAACCAGUACCGUGAGGGAAAGGCGAAAAGAACCCCGGCGAGGGGAGUGAAAAAGAACCUGAAACCGUGUACGUACAAGCAGUGGGAGCACAGAGCAAUCUGUGUGACUGCGUACCUUUUGUAUAAUGGGUCAGCGACUUAUAUUCUGUAGCAAGGUUAACCGAAUAGGGGAGCCGAAGGGAAACCGAGUCUUAACUGGGCGUUAAGUUGCAGGGUAUAGACCCGAAACCCGGUGAUCUAGCCAUGGGCAGGUUGAAGGUUGGGUAACACUAACUGGAGGACCGAACCGACUAAUGUUGAAAAAUUAGCGGAUGACUUGUGGCUGGGGGUGAAAGGCCAAUCAAACCGGGAGAUAGCUGGUUCUCCCCGAAAGCUAUUUAGGUAGCGCCUCGUGAAUUCAUCUCCGGGGGUAGAGCACUGUUUCGGCAAGGGGGUCAUCCCGACUUACCAACCCGAUGCAAACUGCGAAUACCGGAGAAUGUUAUCACGGGAGACACACGGCGGGUGCUAACGUCCGUCGUGAAGAGGGAAACAACCCAGACCGCCAGCUAAGGUCCCAAAGUCAUGGUUAAGUGGGAAACGAUGUGGGAAGGCCCAGACAGCCAGGAUGUUGGCUUAGAAGCAGCCAUCAUUUAAAGAAAGCGUAAUAGCUCACUGGUCGAGUCGGCCUGCGCGGAAGAUGUAACGGGGCUAAACCAUGCACCGAAGCUGCGGCAGCGACGCUUAUGCGUUGUUGGGUAGGGGAGCGUUCUGUAAGCCUGUGAAGGUGUGCUGUGAGGCAUGCUGGAGGUAUCAGAAGUGCGAAUGCUGACAUAAGUAACGAUAAAGCGGGUGAAAAGCCCGCUCGCCGGAAGACCAAGGGUUCCUGUCCAACGUUAAUCGGGGCAGGGUGAGUCGACCCCUAAGGCGAGGCCGAAAGGCGUAGUCGAUGGGAAACAGGUUAAUAUUCCUGUACUUGGUGUUACUGCGAAGGGGGGACGGAGAAGGCUAUGUUGGCCGGGCGACGGUUGUCCCGGUUUAAGCGUGUAGGCUGGUUUUCCAGGCAAAUCCGGAAAAUCAAGGCUGAGGCGUGAUGACGAGGCACUACGGUGCUGAAGCAACAAAUGCCCUGCUUCCAGGAAAAGCCUCUAAGCAUCAGGUAACAUCAAAUCGUACCCCAAACCGACACAGGUGGUCAGGUAGAGAAUACCAAGGCGCUUGAGAGAACUCGGGUGAAGGAACUAGGCAAAAUGGUGCCGUAACUUCGGGAGAAGGCACGCUGAUAUGUAGGUGAAGUCCCUCGCGGAUGGAGCUGAAAUCAGUCGAAGAUACCAGCUGGCUGCAACUGUUUAUUAAAAACACAGCACUGUGCAAACACGAAAGUGGACGUAUACGGUGUGACGCCUGCCCGGUGCCGGAAGGUUAAUUGAUGGGGUCAGCGCAAGCGAAGCUCUUGAUCGAAGCCCCGGUAAACGGCGGCCGUAACUAUAACGGUCCUAAGGUAGCGAAAUUCCUUGUCGGGUAAGUUCCGACCUGCACGAAUGGCGUAAUGAUGGCCAGGCUGUCUCCACCCGAGACUCAGUGAAAUUGAACUCGCUGUGAAGAUGCAGUGUACCCGCGGCAAGACGGAAAGACCCCGUGAACCUUUACUAUAGCUUGACACUGAACAUUGAGCCUUGAUGUGUAGGAUAGGUGGGAGGCUUAGAAGUGUGGACGCCAGUCUGCAUGGAGCCGACCUUGAAAUACCACCCUUUAAUGUUUGAUGUUCUAACGUUGACCCGUAAUCCGGGUUGCGGACAGUGUCUGGUGGGUAGUUUGACUGGGGCGGUCUCCUCCUAAAGAGUAACGGAGGAGCACGAAGGUUGGCUAAUCCUGGUCGGACAUCAGGAGGUUAGUGCAAUGGCAUAAGCCAGCUUGACUGCGAGCGUGACGGCGCGAGCAGGUGCGAAAGCAGGUCAUAGUGAUCCGGUGGUUCUGAAUGGAAGGGCCAUCGCUCAACGGAUAAAAGGUACUCCGGGGAUAACAGGCUGAUACCGCCCAAGAGUUCAUAUCGACGGCGGUGUUUGGCACCUCGAUGUCGGCUCAUCACAUCCUGGGGCUGAAGUAGGUCCCAAGGGUAUGGCUGUUCGCCAUUUAAAGUGGUACGCGAGCUGGGUUUAGAACGUCGUGAGACAGUUCGGUCCCUAUCUGCCGUGGGCGCUGGAGAACUGAGGGGGGCUGCUCCUAGUACGAGAGGACCGGAGUGGACGCAUCACUGGUGUUCGGGUUGUCAUGCCAAUGGCACUGCCCGGUAGCUAAAUGCGGAAGAGAUAAGUGCUGAAAGCAUCUAAGCACGAAACUUGCCCCGAGAUGAGUUCUCCCUGACUCCUUGAGAGUCCUGAAGGAACGUUGAAGACGACGACGUUGAUAGGCCGGGUGUGUAAGCGCAGCGAUGCGUUGAGCUAACCGGUACUAAUGAACCGUGAGGCUUAACCUU